rnacentral:rRNA from 1 species
AUCGUACCCGUACCGUAAACCGACACAGGUGGAUGAGGAGAGAAUCCUAAGGCCGACGGGAGAAGCAUUGUUAAGGAACUCGGCAAAAUGACUCCGUAACUUCGGGAGAAGGAGUGCCAGUGAGAGCUGGCCGCAGAGAAUUGGCCCAAGCAACUGUUUAGCAAAAACACAGGUCUAUGCAAAACCGAAAGGUGAGGUAUAUGGGCUGACGCCUGCCCGGUGCUGGAAGGUUAAGGGGAGAGGUUAGCGCAAGCGAAGCUUUGAACUUAAGCCCCAGUAAACGGCGGCCGUAACUAUAACGGUCCUAAGGUAGCGAAAUUCCUUGUCGGGUAAGUUCCGACCCGCACGAAAGGCGUAAUGAUUUGGGCACUGUCUCAACAAUGCACCCGGUGAAAUUGAAAUACCAGUGAAGAUGCUGGUUACCUGCGCCAGGACGGAAAGACCCCAUGGAGCUUUACUCCAGCUUGAUACUGGGAUUCGAUAUUGCAUGUACAGGAUAGGUGGGAGACUAGGAAGCGGUGACGCCAGUUGCCGCAGAGUCGCUGUUGGGAUACCACCCUUGCAGUAUUGGAUUUCUAACCAGCAGCCGUGAACCGGCUGGGGGACAAUGUCAGGUGGGGAGUUUGACUGGGGCGGUCGCCUCCGAAAGGGUAUCGGAGGCGCUCAAAGGUUCCCUCAGAAUGGUUGGAAACCAUUCGAAGAGUGCAAAGGCAGAAGGGAGCUUGACUGCGACACCGACGGGUGGAGCAGGUACGAAAGUAGGACUUAGUGAUCCGGUGGUAUAAAGUGGGAUUGCCAUCGCUCAACGGAUAAAAGCUACCCUGGGGAUAACAGGCUUAUCACUCCCAAGAGUUCACAUCGACGGAGUGGUUUGGCACCUCGAUGUCGGCUCAUCGCAUCCUGGGGCUGAAGUAGGUCCCAAGGGUUGGGCUGUUCGCCCAUUAAAGCGGUACGCGAGCUGGGUUCAGAACGUCGUGAGACAGUUCGGUCCCUAUCCGGCGUGGGCGUAGGAUAUUUGAGAGGAGCUGACCUUAGUACGAGAGGACCGGGAUGGACUGGCCGCUGGUGAAUCUGUUGUUCUACCAAGAGCAUGGCAGAGUAGCCAAGCCGGGAAGGGAUAAACGCUGAAGGCAUCUAAGCGUGAAGCCCCCCUCAAGAUGAGAUAUCCCAUUCGAAAGAAGUAAGACCCCUUGAAGACGACGAGGUAGAUAGGGCAGAGGUGGAAGUGCAGUAAUGCAUGGAGCUGACUGUUACUAAUCGGUCGAGGGCAUAACCAA